GCGGAUGUGGCGGAAUUGGUAGACGCGCUAGACUUAGGAUCUAGUGCCGCAAGGUGUGAGAGUUCGAGUCUCUCCACCCGUA
rnacentral:tRNA from 1 species